CGUCUUCAGGGCGGGGUGCAAUUCCCCACCGGCGGUAGGUGCCCCAGGGCACGAGCCCGCGAGCGCCCCGGCUUACGGCCGGGGGUCAGCAGAUCCGGUCCGAUGCCGGAGCCGACGGUCAUAGUCCGGAUGAAAGAAGACG
rnacentral:ncRNA from 1 species